UGAAUAAUGGUUUUUUGAACCCCAGACCGGUACUUCCGAACCGGGUGCGGUUCCUCUCAGUUCUCACCGGACUCCUCACCGUGACGAGAGCCGGUCGGGUCAUCGGAAAUUCGGAAUGCUUCAUCUUUUUUAGUUCCCUCUGCGUUCCCAGAUCCACGCCGCGGAUUGGAGUCUGUGGAGAUCUCACUCACGCCUCUCGUUCUCCGGCGUCCGCGAGACGAGACCUCGUUCAUUUUCUUGAAUUCGUUUGCUCAGGUUAUGCCUAGCAGCCAAUUGGGAAUCUAGAAUAUUUUUAUUCACUCUGACAUAAUGAAGGAGCACUGUUUUGGAGCUGAUUCCUUGGGCGCUUGAUACAAAAUUUAUAAUGUCUGGGCUUUUAAAUCCAACACUUAAUGAUCCGGCAUCAAAUCUCGAUUCCUCAGGCCGUCCCUACACUACAUCGUUUUCUGGCCAGUCUAAUACAACACCUGGAUUUCAUCACUCCGGUGCUCUGCAAGGGUUGCAUAACAUUCAUGGAAGCUACAACCUACCAAACAUGCCUGGUUCAUUUGCAUCAAGAAAUGUAACUAUAGGUGCUGCCCCAUUAGGUAGUUUUCAGCAACCAGGGGGAAGCAUUUCUAGUGGGCGGUUUGCAUCAAACAAUAUUUUGGUUGCAUCGACUCAGAUGACUCACGGCCCUGGUGUCUCAAAUAGAGGGGGUAUUGAUGUUGGAAAUCAUUCUUUUGGUAGUAGUAACAUGAAUGGAGUUGGUGGGUCAAUUUCUGGCCUGUCCUCUAGUUCAGCUACUGGUAACCGUAGUUCUGUUCCUGGUUUGGGGGUAUCUCCUGCUUUGGGUAAUGUAGGCCCACGACUUGCAAGCACUAUGGGAAACAUUGUUGGUGGCGAUAACAUGGAAAGAAACAUCAAUUCUGGAGGAUUAUCCAUGCCUGGUUUAGUCUCGCGUGUAAAUUUAGCUACAAAUAGUGGAUCUGGGAACUUCAAUGUACAAGGACCCAACAGACUGAUCAGUGGCAUUCUCCAACAGGGUGGCAGCUCAGAUUUUUCUGUGGAUUUGCAUCAGAAGGAACAACUUCAUGAAAGUAUUUCUACCUUGCUGUCUCCUCAUUUACCUAUGACUAGAUCUACUGGAUUUAGCAUAGGAGGGACUUUCCCACCUAAUCGUCAACAACAGCAGUUGCAUGCUACUGCAGCUAGUAGUGGCGGACUUCCAUUUACACCUGGAAACAAUCAAGAUCUACGCUCACAUGGCUCUGAUUUCUUUCCUUCAUCUCAUGGGAAAUAUCAUUCACGGAUUCAAAACAGUGGAGCCCCUAGGAUCGGAAUGAGACAAUUGAACUCUCCUGCUUCUGGUAUGAGUGCAUAUGAUCAGCUGAUGCAGCAAUAUCAACAACCGCAAGGCCAAUCUCAAUUUCGACUACAGCAGAUACCUGAUGUUAGUCAAUCCUAUAGGGAUCAGAAUGUUAGGUCAACUCCAGGGUUACAAAUUCCUCCUGAUCCAUUUGGUUUACUGGGCUUGUUGAGUGUUAAUAGGAUGAACAAUCCUGAUCUAUCAUCUCUUGCGAUAGGAAUUGAUUUGACAACACUAGGACUGAACUUGAACUCAUCAGACAAUAUUCAUAAAACAUUUGGUUCUCCAUGGUGUAAUGAGCCUGCAAAGGGGGAGCCUGAUUAUUGCGUUCCCACAUGUUAUUAUGCCAAACCACCUCCUUGCCUACAUCACAUAUAUAUCUCGAAAUUUCAGCUAUCGACCCUGUUUUACAUUUUUUAUAGUAUGCCAAAAGAUGAAGCUCAACUUCAUGCGUCUUAUGAACUACAAAUCGAAUGCCGUGCCUUCUGUUCCUUGUCCAAGGAAAUAUGUGAGCUCCAGUUUGUUAGCAUGUAUUCUCGAGGUUGGUUAUACCACGAAGACCUACAGUUUUGGUUUAAAAGAGUUCCAAACACCGAGCCUCUUGUGAAGGCCCAUGCAUAUGAAGGAGGAUCAUACCUAUGUUUUGAUCCGAGCACGUGGAGAACAAUUUCGAAGGUUUGACAUAUGAAGGAGGAUCAUACCUAUGUUUUGAUCCGAGCACGUGGAGAACAAUUUCGAAGGAGCACCUCGUUUUGCAAUAUGAAGCAGUGGAAAAGGAACCAAUACUCCCAUCUCAUCAUCUUUAGGAUCAACCAAAAACAGGUCCUUGUAAAACAGAUCUUGUCACUUUUAGAAUAAAGCAUUCCAAUCCAAUUCUUCUCUUCUUCCCCA